rnacentral:rRNA from 1 species
UGGCGGACGGGUGAGUAAUGCAUAGGAAUCUGCUCGAUAGUGGGGGAUAACCUGGGGAAACCCAGGCUAAUACCGCAUACGUCCUACGGGAGAAAGGGGGCUUCGGCUCCCGCUAUCGGAUGAGCCUAUGUCGGAUUAGCUGGUUGGUGAGGUAAAGGCUCACCAAGGCGACGAUCCGUAGCUGGUCUGAGAGGAUGAUCAGCCACAUCGGGACUGAGACACGGCCCGAACUCCUACGGGAGGCAGAAGUGGGGAAUAUUGGACAAUGGGGGGAACCCUGAUCCAGCCAUGCCGCGUGUGUGAAGAAGGCCCUCGGGUUGUAAAGCACUUUCAGUGAGGAAGAACACCUGGUGGUUAAUACCCAUCAGGAAAGACAUCACUCACAGAAGAAGCACCGGCUAACUCCGUGCCAGCAGCCGCGGUAAUACGGAGGGUGCGAGCGUUAAUCGGAAUUACUGGGCGUAAAGCGCGCGUAGGUGGCUUGAUAAGCCGGUUGUGAAAGCCCCGGGCUCAACCUGGGAACGGCAUCCGGAACUGUCAAGCUAGAGUGCAGGAGAGGAAGGUAGAAUUCCCGGUGUAGCGGUGAAAUGCGUAGAGAUCGGGAGGAAUACCAGUGGCGAAGGCGGCCUUCUGGACUGACACUGACACUGAGGUGCGAAAGCGUGGGUAGCAAACAGGAUUAGAUACCCUGGUAGUCCACGCCGUAAACGAUGUCGACCAGCCGUUGGGUGCCUAGCGCACUUUGUGGCGAAGUUAACGCGAUAAGUCGACCGCCU